AAGGAGACAAAGCAAACAAAUAGUGGUCAAGAACAAAACUAACUACAGAAGUGAUUCAACAAUACUUAGCUAACGUAGGUGAAAAUGCAAACUUUACUAUUGGAAUUAAAAGAAGUUGUAGCUAAAAUUAACAGAUCCUAACUUUGAGAUAUUGGAAUUAUUUCUGCUACAACUUUGAGAGUAAGUUUGAGGGCUCCUUGAACUAACGUG
rnacentral:lncRNA from 1 species